UGAAAAAUAAACGAUUACGGAUUGAGGAUUCACGCCUGGAAAGCGUGUAUUCCCCUAAAGGGAAUCGGGGGUUCGAAUCCCCCUCUUUCCG
rnacentral:tRNA from 1 species